rnacentral:misc_RNA from 1 species
GUACCCUCCAGCUCUGCUUGGUGUUGGGUGUUUGUCGCGCGGAUCUGCGUAGACUCGCCUUAAAACAAUUGGCAGCCGGCAUGUUAGCCUGGAGCGCAGCACAUAUUGCGCCUCAUGCUAGCGAAUGUUGGCCCCCAUCAAGUCCAUUUAUUUGC